rnacentral:rRNA from 1 species
GAUGAACGCUGGCGGCGUGCCUAAUACAUGCAAGUCGAACGCUGAAGGAGGAGCUUGCUCUUCUGGAUGAGUUGCGAACGGGUGAGUAACGCGUAGGUAACCUGCCUGGUAGCGGGGGAUAACUAUUGGAAACGAUAGCUAAUACCGCAUGACAACAGUUAUUGCAUGAUAACUGUUUAAAAGGGGCAACUGCUCCACUACCAGAUGGACCUGCGUUGUAUUAGCUAGUUGGUGAGGUAACGGCUCACCAAGGCGACGAUACAUAGCCGACCUGAGAGGGGGAUCGGCCACGCUGGGACUGGGACACGGCCCAGACUCCUACGGGAGGCAGCAGUAGGGAAUCUUCGGCAAUGGACGGAAGUCUGACCGAGCGACGCCGCGUGAGUGAAGAAGGUUUUCGGAUCGUAAAGCUCUGUUGUAAGAGAAGAACGAGUGUGAGAGUGGAAAGUUCACACUGUGACGGUAGCUUAACAGAAAGGGACGGCUAACUACGUG